GUGCUUUGGUGGCACCAGUACUGAAAUUGGGACGAUACAGAGAUUAAUGCAACUCCUGGGCAAGAAUGGCAUGCAAAUUCAGGAGGUGGUCUAUAUUUUU
rnacentral:snRNA from 1 species